rnacentral:hammerhead_ribozyme from 1 species
GUCCAGAUGACGUGUCCCAAACAGAACGAAAUGCGCGCAUCCUGGAU